CCUACGAGAGGCUGCAGUAGGGAAUCUUCCACAAUGGACGAAAGUCUGAUGGAGCAACGCCGCGUGAGUGAAGAAGGGUUUCGGCUCGUAAAGCUCUGUUGGUAGUGAAGAAAGAUAGAGGUAGUAACUGGCCUUUAUUUGACGGUAAUUACUUAGAAAGUCACGGCUAACUACGUUCCAGCAGCCGCGGUAAUACGUAGGUGGCAAGCGUUGUCCGGAUUUAUUGGGCGUAAAGCGAGUGCAGGCGGUUCAAUAAGUCUGAUGUGAAAGCCUUCGGCUCAACCGGAGAAUUGCAUCAGAAACUGUUGAACUUGAGUGCAGAAGAGGAGAGUUGAACGCCAUGUGUAGCGGUGGAAUGCGUAGAUAUAUGGAAGAACACCAGUGGCGAAGGCGGCUCUCUGGUCUGCAACUGACGCUGAGGCUCGAAAGCAUGGGUAGCGAACAGGAUUAGAUACCCCAGUAGUC
rnacentral:rRNA from 1 species